UGUAUCAACAAUAUGUCUUGUCAAGAUAUUAUUUUGUAACAUUUUCAGAAUGAAACCCAUCUCUGGGCACUGGGGUUCAUUCUUGGUGCACAACUGCCUCGUUGAUCAAGUUCUCUGGCUUUUAUUAUUUCUGCUUGCAAAUAGAGAUACAAAACAGCCAGCCUCAGAAGAAGGAGGGGCUGAUUUCAUCAGCAUGACUAAAGCUGACAGAGUACUUGAGAGGACCUGGCAGGGUACUGCAGAACAUCUUGGCCUUGCAGAUCUGUUUGCUGGGAAUGUGGUGUGUGUUUUAGCAGAGACCCCAAUGACCUGCCAGGGCACGUAGAGAGAGCAGGCUACUUGAGGGCAGGGAGUAGACCACCGCCAUUUCUGUGACCUCACAUCUGGCAUGGCCAGGCACACAGUAGGUACUCAAUAAUUAACUCCCUGCUGUUUCCCUAAUCAUGUAGAGGAAAGCAACAAUGUUCAGUAAUUAACUGUUUA
rnacentral:lncRNA from 1 species